UACAGGACGAACGCUGGCGGCGUGCCUAACACAUGCAAGUCGAGCGAGGAGAUCCUCGGGAUGAUCCUAGCGGCGGACGGGUGAGUAACACGUGGGCAACCUGCCUCAUAGAGAGGAAUAGCCUUCCGAAAGGGAGAUUAAUACCUCAUAACAUUGCAGUUUCGCAUGGAACAGCAAUUAAAGGAGUAAUCCGCUAUGAGAUGGGCCCGCGGCGCAUUAGCUAGUUGGUGAGGUAAUGGCUCACCAAGGCGACGAUGCGUAGCCGACCUGAGAGGGUGAUCGGCCACAUUGGGACUGAGACACGGCCCAGACUCCUACGGGAGGCAGCAGUGGGGAAUAUUGCACAAUGGGGGAAACCCUGAUGCCAGCAACGCCGCGUGAGUGAUGACGGCCUUCGGGUUGUAAAGCUCUGUCUUCAGGGACGAUAAUGACGGUACCUGAGGAGGAAGCCACGGCUAACUACGUGCCAGCCGCGGC
rnacentral:rRNA from 1 species